rnacentral:rRNA from 1 species
GAUGAACGCUAGCGGCGUGCCUAAUACAUGCAAGUCGAGCGAAUGGAUUAAGAGCUUGCUCUUAUGAAGUUAGCGGCGGACGGGUGAGUAACACGUGGGCAACCUGCCCAUAAGACUGGGAUAACUCCGGGAAACCGGGGCUAAUACCGGAUAACAUUUUGAACCGCAUGGUGCGAAAUUGAACGGCGGCUUCGGCUGUCACUUAUGUAUGGACCCGCGUCGCAUUAGCUAGUUGGUGAGGUAACGGCUCACCAAGGCAACGAUGCGUAGCCGACCUGAGAGGGUGAUCGGCCACACUGGGACUGAGACACGGCCCAGACUCCUACGGGAGGCAGCAGUAGGGAAUCUUCCGCAAUGGACGAAAGUCUGACGGAGCAACGCCGCGUGAGUGAUGAAGGCUUUCGGGUCGUAAAACUCUGUUGUUAGGGAAGAACAAGUGCUAGUUGAAUAAGCUGGCACCUUGACGGUACCUAACCAGAAAGCCACGGCUAACUACGUGCCAGCCGCCGCAGUAA